rnacentral:rRNA from 1 species
UACGUAGGGGGCGAGCGUUGUCCGGAAUUAUUGGGCGUAAAGGGCUCGUAGGCGGUUUGUCGCGUCGGGAGUGAAAACCUUGGGCUUAACUCAGGGCUUGCUUUCGAUACGGGCAGACUAGAGGUAUGCAGGGGAGAACGGAAUUCCUGGUGUAGCGGUGAAAUGCGCAGAUAUCGGGAGGAACACCGAUGGCGAAGGCAGCACUCUGGGCCGGCACUGACGCUGAGGAGCGAAAGCGUGGGGAGCGAACAGG